AUAAUCUUGUAGUUCAUAAGCAUGAUGAUUGCCUUUUCACACUCGUAUGAGAUGUGCCUCCCUUGAACCUUGUUAUGAUGUUGGCACAUUACCCAUCUGAUG
rfam:Nomascus leucogenys chromosome 15, whole genome shotgun sequence.